rnacentral:rRNA from 1 species
AAUAUUGCACAAUGGGGGAAACCCUGAUGCAGCAACGCCGUGUGAGUGAAGAAGGCCCUCGGGUCGUAAAGCUCUUUCAGUGGGGAAGAAAAAAAUGACGGUACCCACAAAAGAAGCACCGGCUAACUCCGUGCCAGCAGCCGCGGUAAUACGGGGGGUGCAAGCGUUAUUCGGAAUUACUGGGCGUAAAGCGCGCGUAGGCGGUUUAGUUAGUUUGAUGUGAAAUCCCGGAGCUCAACUCCGGACGUGCAUUGAAUACUGCUAGACUAGAGUACAAGAGGGGAGAGCGGAAUUCCUGGUGUAGAGGUGAAAUUCGUAGAUAUCAGGAGGAACAUCGGUGGCGAAGGCGGCUCUCUGGAUUGUAACUGACGCUGAGGCGCGAAAGCGUGGGUAGCAAACAGGAUUAGAUACCCUGGUAGUCCACGCCGUA